CAGGAGAUAGUUUAACUAGAAUAUCAGCUUUGGGUGUUGAUGGUGGGGCAUAAGCCUCUCUCUUGA
rnacentral:tRNA from 1 species